rnacentral:rRNA from 1 species
UACGUAGGGUGCGAGCGUUGUCCGGAAUUAUUGGGCGUAAAGGGCUCGUAGGCGGUUUGUCGCGUCGGGAGUGAAAACCAGAUGCUUAACACCUGGCUUGCUUUCGAUACGGGCAGACUAGAGGUAUGCAGGGGAGAACGGAAUUCCUGGUGUAGCGGUGAAAUGCGCAGAUAUCAGGAGGAACACCGGUGGCGAAGGCGGGUCUCUGGGCCGUAACUGACGCUGAGGAGCGAAAGCAUGGGGAGCGAACAGG